UUCCUGGUGUAGCGGUGGAAUGCGCAGAUAUCAGGAGGAACACCGAUGGCGAAGGCAGGUCUCUGGGCCAAUACUGACACUGAGGAGCGAAAGCGUGGGGAGCGAACAGGAUUAGAUACCCUGGUAGUCCACGCCGUAAACGGUGGGCGCUAGUUGUGCGAACCUUCCACGGUUUGUGCGACGCAGCUAACGCAUUAAGCGCCCCGCCUGGGGAGUACGAUCGCAAGAUUAAAACUCAAAGGAAUUGACGGGGCCCCGCACAAGCAGCGGAGCAUGCGGCUUAAUUCGACGCAACGCGAAGAACCUUACCAAGGCUUGACAUAUACAGGAAUAUGGCAGAGAUGUCAUAGCCGCAAGGUCUGUAUACAGGCGGUGCAUGGUUGUCGUCAGCUCGUGUCGUGAGAUGUUGGGUUAAGUCCCGCAACGAGCGCAACCCUCGUUCUGUGUUGCCAGCAUUAAGUUGGGGACUCACAGGAGACUGCCGGGGUUAACUCGGAGGAAGGUGGGGAUGACGUCAAAUCAUCAUGCCCCUUACGUCUUGGGCUGCACGCAUGCUACAAUGGCUGGUACAAACGGCUGCGAUACCGCAAGGUGGAGCGAAUCCGAUAAAGCCAGUCUCAGUUCGGAUUGGGGUCUGCAACUCGACCCCAUGAAGUCGGAGUUGCUAGUAAUCGUAGAUCAGCAACGCUACGGUGAAUACGUUCCCGGGGCUUGUACACACCGCCCGUCACAUCACGAAAGUCGGUAACACCCAAAGUCAGUGGCCCAACCGUAAGGAGGGAGCUGCCAAAGGUGGGAUCGGUGAUUGGGAUGAAGUCGUAACAAGGUAA
rnacentral:rRNA from 1 species